CCUACGGGCGGCAGCAGUGAGGAAUAUUGGUCAAUGGGCGAGAGCCUGAACCAGCCAAGUCGCGUGAGGGAGUACUGCCCUAUGGGUUGUAAACCUCUUUUGUCGGGGAGCAAAAGCCGGACGUGUCCGGCUGUGAGAGUACCCGAAGAAAAAGCAUCGGCUAACUCCGGGCCAGCAGCCGCGGUAAUACGGAGGAUGCGAGCGUUAUCCGGAUUUAUUGGGGUUAAAGGGUGCGCAGGUGGAUUUUUAAGUCAGCGGUCAAAUCGUGGGGCUCAACCCCAUCCAGCCGUUGAAACUGGGGAUCUAGAGUGUGCGAGAGGUAUGCGGAAUGCGUGGUGUAGGAGUGAAAUCCGUAGAUAUCUGGAGGAACAUCAGUGGCGAAGGCGACUAGCUGGCACAUAACUGACGCUGAGGAGCGAAAGCGUGGGUAGCAAACAGGAUUAGAUACCCUGGUAGUC
rnacentral:rRNA from 1 species